GAUCAAGAAAAGCCUACUAUCAGAUGGCUAAGAAGUACCACCCAGACACCAACCAGGAUGACCCUCAGGCCAAGGAGAAGUUUGCCAAGCUGGCAGAAGCCUACGAGGUGCUGAGUGACGAGGUCAAGAGGAAGCAGUAUGACACGUACGGAGCGGCAGGCUUC